rnacentral:rRNA from 1 species
AACGAACGCUGGCGGCGUGGAUAAGACAUGCAAGUCGAACGGGACAAGUAGCAAUAUUUGUCUAGUGGCGAACGGGUGCGUAACACGUGGGCAACAUGCCUGGAAGAGCGGGAUAGCCCGGGGAAACUCGGAUUAAUACCGCAUGUGACAACGGGGCGGAUUCGCCCUGUUUUCAAAGGUGGGGACCGCAAGGCCUGCCGCUUCCAGAUUGGCCCGCGUCCUAUCAGCUAGUUGGCGGGGUAACGGCCCACCAAGGCGACGACGGGUAGCUGGUCGGAGAGGACGACCAGCCACACUGGAACUGAGACACGGUCCAGACACCUACGGGUGGCAGCAGUCGAGAAUCUUUCACAAUGGGGGAAACCCUGAUGGAGCGACGCCGCGUGGAGGAUGACGGUCUUCGGAUUGUAAACUCCUGUCAUGAAAGAACAAGCGGAGCGGGUGAACAGCCCGCCGAGUUGAUAGUAUUUCAAGAGGAAGGGACGGCUAACUUCGUGCCAGCAGCCGCCGUAAUAC